UCGCCAAAAGAUGAGUCCGCGUACGAUUAGCUAGUUGGUGAGGUAAUGGCUCACCAAGGCGACGAUCGUUAGCUGGUCUGAGAGGACGAUCAGCCACACUGGGACUGAGACACGGCCCAG
rnacentral:rRNA from 1 species